rnacentral:rRNA from 1 species
CCUACGUGAGGCAGCAGUGAGGAAUAUUGGUCAAUGGACGAGAGUCUGAACCAGCCAAGUAGCGUGAAGGAUGACUGCCCUAUGGGUUGUAAACUUCUUUUAUGGGGGAAUAAAAUGUGCCACGUGUGGGAUUUUGUAUGUACCAUAUGAAUAAGGAUCGGCUAACUCCGUGCCAGCAGCCGCGGUAAGACGGAGGAUCCGAGCGUUAUCCGGAUUUGUUGGGUUUAAAGGGAGCGUAGGUGGGUUGUUACGUCAGUUGUGAACGUCUGCGGCUCAACCGUAAAAUUGCAGUUGAAACUGGCAGUCUUGAGUACAGUAGAGGUGGGCUGAAUUCGUGGUGUAGCGGUGAAAUGCUUCGAUAUCACGCAGAACUCCGAUUGCGAAGGCAGCUCACUGGACUGCACCUGACACUGAGGCUCGAAAGUGUGGGUAUCAAACAGGAUUAGAUACCCCAGUAGUC